UUCCCAAUUCAGAAUCGCCUCCUCCAUCAUCCUCAGGUUGCAGGUGCUUCAAGAUUCAACCAACUACGGUGGUGGCUUGAAUGGAGUUGCCCACAUUCAAGAGGCCGUGCUGCUCAAGCAGAUGGAGUCUUUGCAAAAGCUCUUGCUUUCCAUGAACAACACCAUGGGGUUUUGUGAUUUUGGUUCCAGAAUGUUGGGUUUUGUUUGAAUGUGGUUUAAGUGUGUGCAGCUGGGUUUGUGCAGCUGAGUUAGACCGGGUUUGUGCACUUGCUGGGAAGUUCUUGGGCAGCCCAAUUUCGUUGAUAUUCAUGAAACUGUUCCCUGAUAUUCAUAACACAAGACUCUGGCUGGAUUUCAAUGGUGGUGGCCAUGGCCCUUGAAGAACAGGGCCGGCGUGUUAAUAAGAGAAACCAUAAUUUGAGACAAAAUCAAGGGAAGAACAGGGCCGGCAAGAACUGUUCCCUGAUAUUCAUAACACAAGACUAUUACUGUCACAAUUACAAUGCAAAGAACAUAGAAGGUCGUAUUUUCUCCCUCAUAUUAUUGCUUAAGCUCACUCUCAAGUCACUGAAAGUUUGAAACG